UACGUAGGGGGCGAGCGUUGUCCGGAAUCAUUGGGCGUAAAGAGCGUGUAGGCGGCUUGGCAAGUCUGACGUGAAAGCCCGCGGCUCAACCGCGGAUUGUCGUUGGAAACUGCCUCGCUAGAGUCCGGAAGAGGAGAGCGGAAUUCCUGGUGUAGCGAUGGAAUGCGCAGAUAUCAGGAAGAACACCCGUGGCGAAGGCGGCUCUCUGGGACGGUACUGACGCUGAGACGCGAAAGCGUGGGGAGCGAACAGG
rnacentral:rRNA from 1 species